rnacentral:rRNA from 1 species
CCUACGGGAGGCAGCAGUGGGGAAUAUUGGGCAAUGGGCGCAAGCCUGACCCAGCAACGCCGCGUGAAGGAAGAAGGCUUUCGGGUUGUAAACUUCUUUUCUUAGGGACGAAGAAAGUGCCGGUACCUCAGGAAUAAGCCACCGCUAACUACGUGCCAGCAGCCGCGGUAAUACUUAAGUGGCAAGCGUUAUCCGGAUUUAUUGGGUGUAAAGGGCGUGUAGGCGGGAAUGCAAGUCAGAUGUGAAAACUAAGGGCUCAACCCUGAGCCUGCAUUUGACACUGUUCUUCUUGAGUGCUGGAGAGGCAAUCGGAAUUCCGGGUGUAGCGGUGAAAUGCGUAGAUAUACGGAGGAACACCAGUGGCGAAGGCGGAUUGCUGGACAGUAACUGACGCUGAGGCGCGAAAGCGUGGGGAGCAAACAGGAUUAGAUACCCUGGUAGUC